rnacentral:rRNA from 1 species
CAAUAGCGUAUAUUAAAGUUGUUGCGGUUAAAAAGCUCGUAGUUGGAGUUCUGCCAGGUGCCGCCUGUCCGCCCCAGUGGUGGGUACGUGGCGCGCAUUUGGCCCUUUCAAGGGGAGCGUAUCUGCACUUUAUUGUGUGGUGCGGGAUCCUUGACUUUUACUUUGAGGAAAUAGGAGUGUUCCAAGCAGGCUCUCGUCGUGCACAGCUCAGCAUGGAAUAAUAGCAUUGGACCUCGAUUCUAAGCUGUUGGUUGCCAGAAGCGAGGUAAUGAUGAAGAGGGAUAGUUGGGGGCAUUCGUAUUUAACUGUCAGGGGUGAAAUUCUUGGAUUUGUUAAAGACGGACUACUGCGAAAGCAUCUGCCAUGGAUGUUUUCAUUGA